rnacentral:rRNA from 1 species
UACGUAGGGUGCAAGCGUUAUCCGGAUUUACUGGGUUAAAGGGUGCGUAGGCGGACCAUGUAAGUCAGGGGUGAAAUCCCGGGGCUCAACCCCCGGAACUGCCUUUGAUACUACUGGUCUUGAAUGUUGUUGAGGUGGGCGGGAACGGGGUCAUGUAGCGGUGAAAUGCAUAGAUAUGACCCGGAACACCGAUUGCGAAGGCAGCCCGCUAAGCAACCAUUGACGCUGAGGCACGAAAGCGUGGGGAUCAAACAGG